rnacentral:rRNA from 1 species
UCCGUAGGUGGCAAGCGUUGUCCGGAUUUACUGGGCGUAAAGAGCGCGCAGGCGGUCGUUCAAGUCGCGUGUGAAAGCCCCCGGCUCAACUGGGGAGGGUCACUCGAUACUGAUCGACUCGAAGGCAGGAGAGGGAAGUGGAAUUCCCGGUGUAGUGGUGAAAUGCGUAGAUAUCGGGAGGAACACCAGUGGCGAAGGCGACUUCCUGGCCUGUUCUUGACGCUGAGGCGCGAAAGCUAGGGGAGCAAACGGG